UUUUCAUAUUGCUUCCUUCAUGUUUAAAAGGGGUAUUAACGGAGAAGGCCCACUCAAUUUCCCACCCUUCCCAGGUCCCAGUGGAGGGUAUGCACUGAGGU